UACGGGAGGCAGCAGUGGGGAAUAUUGCACAAUGGGGGAAACCCUGAUGCAGCCAUGCCGCGUGUGUGAAGAAGGCCUUCGGGUUGUAAAGCACUUUCAGUAGGGAGGAAGGUAGUGUAGUUAACACCUGCACUAUUUGACGUUACCUACAGAAGAAGCACCGGCUAACUCCGUGCCAGCAGCCGCGGUAAUACGGAGGGUGCGAGCGUUAAUCGGAAUUACUGGGCGUAAAGCGCAUGCAGGCGGCCUGUUAAGUCAGAUGUGAAAGCCCGGGGCUUAACCUCGGAAUUGCAUUUGAAACUGGCAGGCUAGAGUCUUGUAGAGGGGGGUAGGAAUUUCAGGUGUAGCGGUGAAAUGCGUAGAGAUCUGAAGGAAUACCAGUGGCGAAGGCGGCCCCCUGGACAAAGACUGACGCUCAGAUGCGAAAGCGUGGGGAGCAAACAGGAUUAGAUACCCUGGUAG
rnacentral:rRNA from 1 species